UACAGAGAGUGCAAGCGUUAAUCGGAAUCAUUGGGCGUAAAGAGCUCGUAGGCGGUCUGUCGCGUCGAUCGUGAAAACUUGGGGCUUAACCCUGAGCUUGCGGUCGAUACGGGCAUGACUGGAGUUCGGCAGGGGAGACUGGAAUUCCUGGUGUAGCGGUGAAAUGCGCAGAUAUCAGGAGGAACACCGGUGGCGAAGGCGGGUCUCUGGGCCGUAACUGACGCUGAGGAGCGAAAGCAUGGGGAGCGAACAGG
rnacentral:rRNA from 1 species